AGUUCCCCCCUCAAUGAGUCAGCCCAAAGUAUAGCACUGGGUGCUUGCCUGCGUGUUACAACCUUGCCAUGAUUUCUAUCCCACUCCCCUCCUCACUUCUCCUCCCAUGUUCUAAAAUUGAUAAAAGGGUGACUGCUGGAGCCUGCUGGAUUGCUGAAACCCCCAACAGCUUCUCCCACACCCCCACCCUCCAGCAAAUCCCCUGCUUUGGGGGGAGUGGAAGGGCUUAUUAUUAUUUUAUUAUUAUUAUUAUUAAAUUUCCUUCAUAGUUUUAUGAAUGAAACUGCCUGGCUGAGCUGGGAGUAACAUCCCUUGCCCUGAAACUCCACAAAGCCGGUGAAAUCCAAGUCGGAAAGCAGCAGAGAGAUGGGAUCCAGGGAGCAGUGACAGCAGCUCCCACUGGGAUGCUCGGCGGGGCUCAGCCCAAGGUGGUCCUGAGCCCUAAGAGGCUGCAGGCUCCCCUUUCUGGCUCCUUCUAGACAUGGGACAGAGGACUCGCUGCCCAUGUGGGUGCACGACUGGAAAAAAUAUUAAUUUUUUUGUUAAAAAAACCCCAAUAUCUGAGGAUUUCAGAGCAUUUUGUGGAAUCCUUUGAGACAGAGAGGGAGAGAGAAGCAAAAAAAAAAUCCCCAUUUGUGACUCAAACGCACUGCAACCUGGAAGGCUGGCAGAAUAAACCUAUUGUGGAACAGAAACGCGCCGGGAUAUACCAGCAAAAAAAUCCCCCAGAGUCCCACUCUUUGCGAAAAGAUGCACGCGGAAAACAAACAGCACCAGGGGCUGCAGCUCUGAAGGGAGCGAAGUUGCUCCGCUUCACAUGGUCUUCUCGGCUGCAUUUAGGGAGCUGCCCAGAUCUCCAGCCAUGAGAAAACGAAGCAAAGGACCGGGGUUUCUUGUCAUGUGCCUUUCUGGCUAAAACUGUGGAAACAAACAAACAAUCAAACAAACACAAAUUCU